rnacentral:rRNA from 1 species
UACGUAGGGUGCGAGCGUUGUCCGGAAUUAUUGGGCGUAAAGAGCUCGUAGGCGGUCUGUCGCGUCUGCUGUGAAAACCCGAGGCUCAACCUCGGGCCUGCAGUGGGUACGGGCAGACUAGAGUGCGGUAGGGGAGAAUGGAAUUCCUGGCGUAGCGGUGGAAUGCGCAGAUAUCAGGAGGAACACCGAUGGCGAAGGCAGUUCUCUGGGCCGUAACUGACGCUGAGGAGCGAAAGCGUGGGGAGCGAACCGG